UUGCUUGCCUUGGCAGCACAUAUACUAAAUUUUAAACAAUACAGAGAAGAUUAGCAUGGCCCCUGUGCAAGGAUGACACACAAAUUUGUGAAGUGUUUCAUAAUUUU
ensembl:snRNA U6 U6 spliceosomal RNA